ensembl:lncRNA
CGCGUUAUAUAUGUGUUUUGUUUUUGUUUUGCAGUGAAAUACGCGUAUUUAACAUGUUGUUGACGUUUAAAUUCACGUGUUUUUGACCCUUUUGGCCUUCCAUAAGGGGAUUCCCGUGAGGGAAGUGCUUAGAGAAGUUUGUGAGUACAGCCAAGUUGAAGAAGAUGGUUUCAGGAUUUGAAAACAUUCACAAACCAGUUCCGUGAAUCAAACCCAUCACUUACACUUACUAGACAUUAAACUAUGGAGGAAUGUGAGCUGAGCAACAGUCCUAGACAUGAAGAACAGGUCAAACUGAAGAAAGAUAAGAAUAAUGUGGAGCAAACACGUACGGAUCUGGGUCCUUGUGUAUGCGGUUAUGACUGCUGUGUUUGUUUCCAAACCUGUGAUUGUCCUGGAUGUGAUUGUCCUGGAUGUGAUUUUUCUGCAUGCUGUGAUUGUCUUGGAUUCUGUGAUUGUUCUGAAUUUUGUGAGCUUGUGUGUUCUGGAUUCUGUGAUUGUUUUUCAUCCUGCUGCGAGUGUCUGGGAUCCAUUUUGGGAUGUUUUUGUCAGAUCCUUUUGGAUCCAGGGACUUGGAUGGAUUUCUAGUGACGCCACAGAAGUCAGAAGAAAACAUCCGAUACGAAGCCAACAAACAAACAUUGGGAAGUCUUCAUGAAAUAUCAUAAUGGAAUGAUUAUUAAACUUCACAAAGAUGUUGUUGUUAUCUGUACAUUUACAAAAAUGCAACUGUAAAAUACGCUAAAACAAAUCCAACAAAAGUUGAACUUCUUCUGCAGUAAUGUCUGAUUGUAGCUUUAAAUACAAACUGCUCGAGAGUGAAGAGAAACUAAAAUGCACCAGCAUAAAAACAAGUCUCUUGAGAUUGUUGAGCCACAGAGUUUGAUGAUGUGGUUUGAAAAAUGUCAUCCGUUUUGGUUUCGUUUGGAGAAUGUUUAAUCUAAACCAGAUUUUGUUCGGUUUCAGGCAGAAGGAGAAUAGUUAAGAUAAUAAAUUAAGCAGAUGUUGUGAAGGUUUGGUCUUU